GGUAUGAUAUUUGUCUCUAAAAUCAGAGAAGGAGUUGAACCAACUUUCUGGGGGUUUGGAUUCGAAUUGCAGGAGUUUAUGGGUUUUCGUGGAUUUGAGAAGGAGAUGAUGGGAGAGUUGGGAAACGAAAGGCUACUCUCCAGUUGAUAAGUGUAGCAAAGGAAAGGCCAAGCAGAUGAAGAAAGCCAAGAAACACCCAAACAAGCAAAAGUUCUAUAUCUUUUGUCUUUUUCAAAUUAUGGUGCCACUCUAAGAAAGACCCCACAGUUUGGUGGGUUGAUGACAAUACAUCAACAACUGCAAAGCUUGAUACUGGCAUGUUAAUUGCUGUGAAGACGAAUAACUGAGAAGGUUUACAGGGUCACAAGGAAUGGGAUCUAAAGGAGGUUCAGUGAAAUUAACUAUUCAUAGUGGACCUGAAAUCAAGCAGUUGGAUUUAAUGGAAGUUUAGUUCUUCAUUUAUCCCUGCAAAAUAUUGUUAUUUAAAGACUUAUGCUUUGUUCUAAUAAGUUAACUUGGAGGAACAAAUGAUGCAGUGAAGUCUUUGACCAAGAAAAUGGUCUUCACUUUUUAGACAUGGAACUUGGGAGUACUGGGACCAGUUGUUCUACAAGGAUCAGAUCAAGGAAACAGAGAUCUAUCAGGG